AUAUCAAUAAGCGGAGGAAAAGAAACUAACAAGGAUUCCCCUAGUAACUGCGAGUGAAGCGGGAAAAGCUCAAAUUUAAAAUCUGGCGGUCUUUUGGCUGUCCGAGUUGUAAUCUAGAGAGGUGUUAUCCGCGCUGGACCGUGUACAAGUUUCCUGGAAUGGAGCAUCAUAGAGGGUGAGAAUCCCGUCUUUUGACAUGGACUACCAGGGCUUUGUGAUGCGCUCUCAAAAGAGUCGAGUUGUUUGGGAAUGCAGCUCAAAAUGGGUGGUAAAUUCCAUCUAAAGCUAAAUAUUGGCGAGAGACCGAUAGCGAACAAGUACCGUGAGGGAAAGAUGAAAAGAACUUUGGAAAAGAGAGUUAAACAGUAC
rnacentral:rRNA from 1 species